rnacentral:rRNA from 1 species
UACGAAUUGUGCAAACGUUAUUCGGAAUCACUGGGCUUAAAGGGUGCGUAGGCUGCUGUGAAGGUCUGGUGUGAAAUCCAACGGCUCAACCGUUGAAUUGCACUGGAAACCACAUGGCUGGAGUAGGACAGAGGUGAGCGGAACAGAUGGUGGAGCGGUGAAAUGCGUUGAUAUCAUCUGGAACACCGGUGGCGAAAGCGGCUCACUGGGUCCUAACUGACGCUGAGGCACGAAAGCCAGGGGAGCAAACGGG